AAGUUAUCCCACUUUCAAAACAAGGGAUUCCAGUUUUCCUGUUUGGGAAUAUGACAACUUCUAUGUCAUUCUAAUCAAACCAGGAUGAGUCGCGAUGUAAGAAUAUUGAUUUGGAUACAUAAAGUAGUGGAGACUCACUAGAAAGUUGAAUAAAUGUCAUAGGAGUUAGGAUGAAGAAGGUAUCCAACUUUCAAAGCAAGGGAUCCCAAUUUUUCUGUUUGGGAAAAUGACAACUUCUUCGUCAUUCUAAUCAAACCAGGAUGAAUCACGGUGUAAGAAGCUUGAUUUAGAUACAUAAUGUAGUGGAGAAUCACCAGGAAGUUGAAUAAAUCUCAUAGGAGUUAGGAUGAAGAAGCUAUCCCACUUUCAAAGCAACAAAAGCCAAUUUUCAUGUUUGGGAAUAUCACAACUUUUUCUGCAUUCAAAUCAAACAAGGAUGAGUCGGGAUGUAAGAAGCUUGAUUUGGAAACAUAAUUUAGUGGACAAUCACCAGGAAGUUUAAUAAAUUUCAUAGGAGUUAGGAUGAAGAAGCUAUCCCACUUUCAAAGUAAGGGAUCACAGUUUUCCUGUUUGGGGAAAUGACAACUUCUUCGUCAUUCUAAUCAAACCAGUAUGAAUCGCGAUGUAAGAUGCUUGAUUUGGAUACAUAAAAUAGUGGAGACUGACCAGGAAGUUGAAUAAAUUUCAUAGGAGUUAGGAUGAAGAAGCUAUCCCAUUUUCAAAGCAAGGGAUUCCAAUUUUCUUGUUUGGAAUAUGACAACUUCUUCGUCAUUCUAAUCAAACCAGGAUGAUUCGGGAUGUAAGAAGCUUGAUUUGGAUACAUAAAGUAGUGGACAAUCACCAGAAAAUUGAAUAAAUUUCAUAGGAGUUAGGAUGAAGAAGCUAUACCACUUUCAAAGCAAGGGAUCCCAAUUUUCCUGUUUGGGAAAAUGACAGCUUCUUCGUCAUUCUAAUCAAACCAGGAUGAAUCGCGAUGUAAGAAGCUUGAUUUGGAUACAUAAAGUAGUGGAGACUCACC
rnacentral:lncRNA from 1 species